ACGCUCGCUCCAGCGCCAUCGCCCGCAGCGUAUGUGUCUGAGCCGGGCUGCAGUUGCUGGCCAGCCUGAUACAAACAAGAGUAGCGACUCGCUCGCUCGCGCCUCUGCCUCCGGCCGCCGCAUCGCAACCCGGGAACUCCACGCGUCGAACACUGACCGAACGACGGAGUGCCGUCGCUAUGUCCGUCAAUCCUGGAUAAAGAACAUCAUUUUUAAUUCACCUGAUUUUAGAGUGUGUUUAUUUAACCUAGAAAACUAUACUGCUGUCCUAUUCUCAUGUGUCAAUACACUUUCUAAACAUUUA